rnacentral:lncRNA from 1 species
UGGCAGAGUAUCCCCGAAGGUUUUUGAGGUUUAAUGAACUUGUGAGUUGUUAUUACAAACUAAUUAACAUGUCUGUGUCCAUGUAUAAAGGGAUUUUUUGUAAAGAAACGUUAAACUGGUCAGCUACCCCCAUCGCCGAUAAUGACAAGAAAGGAACUUUCCCUCAGAUCAAUUAAAUGCACCUUACUCAAAUAAUUACGGCCACAAAAUCAAAACUGCCAUUCUGUAGCUAAACUGUUUAAUUAAAUAAUAGUUUUAAAGCCUUUCACCGGAUUAAGAAGUCGUGCAACACAACAAGGUCAAUGGAUUUCGAUUGCUGGAUUCCCUUUAGAGGCCCUAUAUAUUUGAUUCGAAUGCUCCCGAAGACUUCCGUUAGCUAUUUAGCAACGAUAAAGUCCGAGAAUAAACUGGACCCCUGCUGUUGUUUCACUGUUAUCGUGUGCCGAAGUAUCAAUCAGCGGGUGACCAGUUUAGUCCGAGAACUCGUGUGUACAAUGACGUUCCAGAUUCAACUACGGAAUCGUCAUUUGACAGUGACUGUGAAUCUGAAUUGGUCAGUGAAUUAACGGAUGAGAAAAUAAUUAUAAAAAGCAAAAUCGCUCCACGUCGGACAUCUCCCAACGACGAGCGUGAUUGACGGAGUUGCGUUUGAUUUAUAAACAAAAAUGUAGCAAAACGUCUAUCUUCAUCUUCUUUUAUUUUUACAUUUACAUCUAAAUCAACACAAAAAUAAACUGUCGUCUGUUGUGUCACCUAUUAUCCCUUGUCAGUAAAUGCCAAAAUUAUUUUGGUGUCGACUUCC